rnacentral:rRNA from 1 species
CUCGCGUCCGAUUAGCUAGUUGGUGAGGUAAUGGCUCACCAAGGCGACGAUCGGUAGCCGAACUGAGAGGUUGAUCGGCCGCAUUGGGACUGAGACACGGCCCAGACUCCUACGGGAGGCAGCAGUGGGGGAUAUUGCACAAUGGAGGAAACUCUGAUGCAGCAACGCCGCGUGAGGGAAGAAGGUCUUCGGAUUGUAAACCUUAGUAGUCAGGGAAGAAAGAAAUGACGGUACCUGAAAAGUAAGCUCCGGCUAACUACGUGCCAGCAGCCGCGGUAAUACGUAGGGAGCAAGCGUUGUCCGGAUUUACUGGGUGUAAAGGGUGCGUAGGCGGGACUGCAAGUCAGGCGUGAAAUACCGAGGCUUAACCUCGGGGCUGCGUUUGAAACUGUAGUUCUUGAGUGAAGUAGAGGCAGGCGGAAUUCCUAGUGUAGCGGUGAAAUGCGUAGAUAUUAGGAGGAACACCAGUGGCGAAGGCGGCCUGCUGGGCUUUAACUGACGCUGAGGCACGAAAGCAUGGGGAGCAAACAGGAUUAGAUACCCUGGUAGUCCAUGCCGUAAACGAUGAUAGCUAGGUGUGGGGGGACUGACCCCUUCCGUGCCGGAGUAAACACAAU